GUGUUGUAUGAAAGGUGAGAAGGUUAGCACUCCCCUUGACAAGGAUGGAAGAGGCCCUUGGGCCUGACAACACGCAUACGCAAGGACAAAAAACCAAAUACCGCAUGUUCU
ensembl:snRNA